CCCAGGCACAUUGUCAGGUGUUGUCUAUAGUCCUAGCUUCGCAGGAGGUUGAGCUGGGAGGAUCAUUUGAACCGAAGAGUUCUGGGCUGUAGUUUGCUAUGCUGAUCAGGUGUCUGUAUUUUUUGGCAUUGGUAUGGUGACCUUCUGGAAGUUGAGGACCACCAAGUUACCUAAGGUGGUGUGGACUGGCCCAGAUCACAAAUAGAGCAGUUUAAAACUCCCUUGCUGAUCAGCAGUGGGAUUGCGCCUAUGAAUAGCCACUGCAUUCCAGAUUGGGCAACAUAGCCAGACCUCCCAGUUUU
rnacentral:SRP_RNA from 1 species